GACGAACGCUGGCGGCGUGCUUAACACAUGCAAGUCGAACGAAGAGCGAUGGAAGCUUGCUUCUAUCAAUCUUAGUGGCGAACGGGUGAGUAACGCGUAAUCAACCUGCCCUUCAGAGGGGGACAACAGUUGGAAACGACUGCUAAUACCGCAUACGAUCUAAUCUCGGCAUCGAGGAUGGAUGAAAGGUGGCCUCUACAUGUAAGCUAUCACUGAAGGAGGGGAUUGCGUCUGAUUAGCUAGUUGGAGGGGUAACGGCCCACCAAGGCGAUGAUCAGUAGCCGGUCUGAGAGGAUGAACGGCCGCAUUGGGACUGAGACACGGCCCAGACUCCUACGGGAGGCAGCAGUGGGGAAUCUUCCGCAAUGGACGAAAGUCUGACGGAGCAACGCCGCGUGAGGGAUGACGGCCUUCGGGUUGUAAAGCUCUGUUAAUCGGGACGAAAGGCCUUCUUGCGAAUAGUGAGAAGGAUUGACGGUACCGGAAUAGAAAGCCACGGCUAACUACGUG
rnacentral:rRNA from 1 species